rnacentral:rRNA from 1 species
AACGAACGCUGGCGGCGUGCUUAACACAUGCAAGUCGAAUGAGAAAAUGUAGCAAUACAUGAGUAAAAUGGCGCACGGGUCCGUAACACGUGGGUAAUCUACCUUCAGGCGAGGGACAACCUGUCGAAAGACGGGCUAAUACCUCAUAAGACCACGGAAUCGAAAGAUUCUGAGGUUAAAGGUGGCCUCUAUUUAUAAGCUAUCACCCGAAGAUGAGCCCGCGCACCAUCAGCUUGUUGGUGAGGUAAUGGCUCACCAAGGCCUAGACGG